rnacentral:rRNA from 1 species
CGGGACGGGUGAGUAAUGUCUGGGAAACUGCCUGAUGGAGGGGGGUAACUACUGGAACGGUAGCUAAUACCGCAUAACGUCGCAAGACCAAAGAGGGGGACCUUCGGGCCUCUUGCCAUCGGAUGUGCCCAGAUGGGAUUAGCUAGUAGGUGGGGUAACGGCUCACCUAGGCGACGAUCCCUAGCUGGUCUGAGAGGAUGACCAGCCACACUGGAACUGAGACACGGUCCAG